AGGGUUUCACCGCGGACCCGCAAAUCCUUCGUGACCUCCCUCUGCUGUCGUCAACCAGUGGACUCGUCCCCCCCUUUCCUAUCUCGGCGACGACGCAGAUUUCCCCAGCAACUCGGAUUAUUCGUCUGAGGAUCCAAGAGCCACUUGAACCAAGAUGGACAAGUCCGGCAAAGUGAUUGCUAAGUGGGAUAGUAGAGCAACCAAAAUUUUCACAGAAAUUUGUGUAGAAGAGGUCAAUGCUCGCAACAGGCCACAA